CCACCAAAAGCGGAAGGGAGAUGAUAGCUGAAAGCCUCGAGUCUCCAAGGUUGAGAACCAAUACAAAUCAAGCACGCCGUAAGUUUUGAUUAUGUUCGGCAGAAGUAGAUUUCUUUCUUUUCCGAUGGUGAUUGGAGCUGUCGUGAUCGGUGUGGUUUCUGGUAAGGCAAUAUUUGGACCACCAAUUGAUGAGUAUUGGAAAAAGAAGCUUCAGGAAGAAGCAUCAGCAAAGGAGGAGGACUCAAGCUCCACUUAGCUCUCCAUCGCAUUAAGUCUUG